CCCUGCCAUUUGUACACACCGCCCGUCGCUCCUACCGAUUUCGAGUGAUUCGGUGAACCAUUUGGACCGUAGUAGCUUCGUGCUACUGUGGAAAAUCUAGUAAACCAUAUCACUUAGAGGAAGGAGAA
rnacentral:rRNA from 1 species